rnacentral:rRNA from 1 species
GACGAACGCUGGCGGCGUGCUUAACACAUGCAGGUCGAACGGUAAGGCCCUUCGGGGUACACGAGUGGCGAACGGGUGAGUAACUCGUGGGUGAUCUGCCCUGCACUUCGGGAUAAGCCUGGGAAACUGGGUCUAAUACCGGAUAGGACCACUGCCUGCAUGGGUGGUGGUGGAAAGCUUUUGCGGUGUGGGAUGGGCCCGCGGCCUAUCAACUUGUUGGUGGGGUGAUGGCCUACCAAGGCGACGACGGGUGGCCGGCCUGAGAGGGUGACCGGCCACAAUGGGACUGCGAUACGGCCCAGACUCCUACGGGAGGCAGCAGUGGGGAAUAUUGCACAAUGGGCGCAAGCCUGAUGCAGCGACGCCGCGUGAGGGAUGACGGCCUUCGGGUUGUAAACCUCUUUCAGCACCGACGAAGCGCAAGUGACGGUAGGUGCAGAAGAAGGACCGGCCAACUACGUGCCAGCAGCCGCGGUAA